rnacentral:rRNA from 1 species
CGUUGCCGUGGAAGUUUAGUGAACCUUAUCACUUAGAGGAAGGAGAAGUCGUAACAAGGUUUCCGUAGGUGAACCUGCGGAAGGAUCAU